CGGGAAGAGCUCAAAUUUAUAAUCUGGCACCUUCGGUGUCCGAGUUGUAAUCUCUAGAAAUGUUUUCCGCGUUGGACCGCACACAAGUCUGUUGGAAUACAGCGGCAUAGUGGUGAGACCCCCGUAUAUGGUGCGGACGCCCAGCGCUUUGUGAUACAUUUUCGAAGAGUCGAGUUGUUUGGGAAUGCAGCUCAAAUUGGGUGGUAAAUUCCAUCUAAAGCUAAAUAUUGGCGAGAGACCGAUAGCGAACAAGUACCGUGAGGGAAAGAUGAAAAGCACUUUGGAAAGAGAGUUAACAGUACGUGAAAUUGUUGGAAGGGAAACGCUUGAAGUCAGACUUGCUUGCCGAGCAAUCGGUUUGCAGGCCAGCAUCAGUUUUCCGGGAUGGAUAAUGGUAGAGAGAAGGUAGCAGUUUCGGCUGUGUUAUAGCUCUCUGCUGGAUACAUCUUGGGGGACUGAGGAACGCAGUGUGCCUUUUGGCGGGGGUUUCGACCUCUUCACACUUAGGAUGCUGGUGGAAUGGCUUUAAACGACCCGUCUU
rnacentral:rRNA from 1 species